AUUGGAUCGACCUCACACAUGAUAGGCAAGCAUUCUACCACUGAGCCACAACCCCAGCCCAGAUUAAUCUAUUGAUGAGUUUAUGGCCCUUCUGAUCCAAUCACUUCCCAAAGUGUGCGUCUGCCCCCCCCCCCCCCCCCAACAUUGCUGUACUAGGGACCAAAUCUUCAACACAUGAACCUUUAAAAGCUAUUGUGGAUCCAAACCAUAACACCAGUUUAUUAUUAAGGAUAUAGAAGAAGAUAUACAUAUGGUGGGAAAGGGUGCAAAGCUCCAACCUCCUAUCUAGAUAUACUACCUCCAGGAACCACCAUGUGUUCAGAUAUAAGGAAGUUUUCCAGCCUGACCUUUUUGGUGUUUAUUGCAUAGGCCUUAUUGCUAAUAGACUGGAUGGGGAAGCCCAGCAAGGUGCAGUAUUUCUUCCUCCAGGGUAUGGGAAGGGACCCCUCUGGAAUAAGAUGGGUCUUAUGACCUAUUUUCAGAAGAGGUAAGUCAGAGAAUUUCUUGAUAAAAGGCAGAGAAAGAUUGGUUUUUAUGACUUGCCUUAGGGAGAGGAAAACCUGGAAACUGGAGGAAGACCCAACAGUUUUCUCUUCAUUUUCUUUCUCUCUCUCUCUCUCUCUCUUUUUUUUUUUUUUUGGUGCUGAGUAUUGAACCCAGAGCUUCACAUAUGCCAGGCAAGCACUCUAUCACUAAGCUACAUUUCCAGGCCUUUGUUGUCCAUUGAGAUGGGGUCUGACUGUAUUCCCAGACUAGUUUUGAUUCCUGGGCUAAAGUAAAUCCUUCCACCUCAGCCUCUGGAUCAACUGGGACUACAAGUGUGUGUGACUGCACCUGCCUUCAUUUUCUUAAUAUCCUUUGAGGCACAACAUUUUUAAAUUUGAAAAAAAUCCAAAUCCUAUUCUUUUUUUGCUUGAGAUUUUGAUGUCAUAUAAAAAAUUAUUACCACGUGCAACAAUUUAGUUUUAGAAUAUUUCCAUUAUCUACCCAAAUUCCCUAGCCUUCCCUGCUCCCUUUCUUUCUCGUACUGGGGAUUGAACCCAGGGCCACACUACCUCUGAGCUCCAUCCCCAUCCCUUUUUAUUUUAUUUUUUGAGGCAGGGCCUCACUGGCCUUGAACUUGGGUUCUCCUGUCUCAUCCUCCAGAAGAGCUGGGAUUUGAGGCCUGCGCUGCUGCACUAAGAGGUUUUUAUUUUAGUGAAGUCAUUUUUUGUUGUUGUUGUUGUGGUUGGUCAUGCUUUUGUACUUAAGAAUGUACUUAAGGGGCUGGGGAUGUGGCUCAAGUGGUAGCAUGCUUGCCUGGCAUACGUGCGGCCCGGGUUGGAUCCUCAUGCACCACAUACAAACAAAGAUGUUGUGUCCGCCGAUACUUGAAAAAUAAAUAUUAAAAAAAAAAAAGAAUGUACUUAAGUGUACUUAAGAAUACGUUUAUGGUAUUUAAGAAUAUAUUUGCGGGGUUGGGGUUGUGGCUCAGUGGUAGAGUGCUCGUCUAGCCCUGGGUUCCAUCCUCAGCACCACAUAAAAAUAAGUAAAUAAAAUGAAAGUAUUGUGUCC
rnacentral:lncRNA from 1 species